rnacentral:rRNA from 1 species
AGAGAAAGUUAAGAGUUCGAAGACGAUCAGAUACCGUCGUAGUCUCAACUAUAAAUGAUACAGACCAGGGAUAGGACACUGUCCAUCUCGACUCCUCCCGGACCUUGGAGAAAUCAGAGUCUUUGGGUUCUGGGGGGAGUAUGGUCGCAAGGCUGAAACUUAAAGGAAUUGGCGGAAGGGCACACAAAGAGUGGAACCUGCGGCUUAAUUUGACUCAACACGGGAAAACUCACCAGGUCCGGAUACACGUAUGAAAGUCAAGCUGAAAGACUUUACUCAAUGAUGUAAGUGGUGGUGCAUGGUCGUUCGUAGUUCGUGGAUUGAUUUGUCUGGUCUAUUCCGAUAACGAGCGAGACCCCAACGUUCCUAAUAGGGGUGGCAGCCCGACUGGUCGCAAGGCCAGUUAGCACGCCGCCUGAGAUUCGCUUCUUAGACGUAUCAGAGCCGAUAAGGUUCUUGAAAUGGGUUAAUAACAGGUCAGUCAUGCCCUUAGAUGUUCUGGGCCGCACGCGCGUUACAAUGGCAUGUAAAGCGAGUGCUUCUCAAAGGCGUAUCCGGGGCCGAAAGGCCCUGGUAACCCUUAAUCCCUGCCUUGACUGGGAUAGAUCUUUGCAAUUAUUGGUCUCUAACGAGGAAUUUUAGUAGUCGUAGGUCAUUAACCUGCGACGAAUGCGUCCCUGCCUUUUGUACACACCGCC